rnacentral:rRNA from 1 species
GAUGAACGCUGGCGGCGUGCCUAAUACAUGCAAGUCGAGCGAACGGACGAGAAGCUUGCUUCUCUGAUGUUAGCGGCGGACGGGUGAGUAACACGUGGAUAACCUACCUAUAAGACUGGGAUAACUUCGGGAAACCGUAGCUAAUACCGGAUAAUAUUUUGAACCGCAUGGUUCAAAAGUGAAAGACGGUCUUGCUGUCACUUAUAGAUGGAUCCGCGCUGCAUUAGCUAGUUGGUAAGGUAACGGCUUACCAAGGCAACGAUGCAUAGCCGACCUGAGAGGGUGAUCGGCCACACUGGAACUGAGACACGGUCCAGACUCCUACGGGAGGCAGCAGUAGGGAAUCUUACGCAAGGGGCGAAAGCCUGACGGAGCAACGCCGCGUGAGUGAUGAAGGUCUUCGGAUCGUAAAACUCUGUUAUUAGGGAAGAACAUAUGUGUAAGUAACUGUGCACAUCUUGACGGUACCUAAUCAGAAAGCCACGGCUAACUACGUG